ensembl:lncRNA
GAGGGACAGUUAGAGUCCAUUAUAUCUUUGAUGUUUAAUUUUCUUUUACUUCUCCACCCAUCUCGUUGCUGCUAAAAGGACCAUUUCUUAUAUAGCGCCGGCGCAAAAAGAAGAAAGAAAAAUUCUUACCUGCUUGUCUCGUUUGUCUAAGUUUGACGUCUUUUCCACGUAAUUGAACUUGAUGAAUGUUGGCGUUUGUUUAUCUCUCUAACGCGCACUGUCCUUUCAACACCCCUCCGGAUGACAUAUCUGGGCCGGUUCGGUUAUUUUCAGAACAAUACAGCACCUGUCUAUCUCCAGGGUUUUUGUGAUUAGAGCUUGGAUUGUCAAUUACAACAAGUCAAACCGCAACUCUCGGUUUUCUUUGUCCGGAAAAAGAGUGCUAGUUUUACCAGCUAGCCAGGCUAUGCUAGUCGAUGGAAAAUAGUAAGCACAUUUAUAUGGUUUUGGAAUGACCUGUUCAGGAGAAAAAAAUGCAGUUUCAGUUCCUUUGGAUGACAAUUGAAGGAAACUGAGCAUGUUUGACCACGAUAAAAAGGCAUGUUUUAAAAAUGUUAAAAUACAAGCUGUCGUCAAACCAUCCAUGCAUCCCACGUUUCUUCCAACUGUUAGGCCUAAGUGAGAUCGCUUAGGUUAUGUACAUCGCUACUGAGACAUCGUGUUCUUGGACAACUGGUAUGAUCUACCCAGGCAGAUGCGAGGAUGCGCACCACCAGGUCCAUUCCAUGCACACAUGCAUCAUCUUGGCAUUCUGGCUGGCAGGAAUUGAUCCUGAACGACAACCAACAAGGGGCGACAUAAGAGACGGCACACAGGGAGAGCUGAGGAAAAACGCAGUCCGGAUGUUAUUUUAAAAACACAGAUGUCCUGGAGCUCACCCCAUGCGCCCAGAAUAGCACCCAUCUGCUGCUUCUCUUCGUCUGUUGGAGAGGAUGCCGGGUUUUCUGGCCCCGGGAAUAAUAAGCUGUUGAGUUCCGGGGAACAGUUGGACACAGCAAACGACGAGGACAAAAAACGUCUCGAGACAUGGGGCUGCGCUGUCUGUUGUUUUGUUCAAAAAGAAAAAGUAGUGGAACUGUUGAUACUUCGGCCCAAACUUGAA